rnacentral:rRNA from 1 species
GACGUAGGGCGCGAGCGUUGUCCGGAUUUAUUGGGCGUAAAGAGCUCGUAGGCGGCUUGUCGCGUCGUCCGUGAAAACUUGGGGCUCAACUCCAAGCUUGCGGUCGAUACGGGCAGGCUCGAGUUCGGUAGGGGAGACUGGAAUUCCUGGUGUAGCGGUGAAAUGCGCAGAUAUCAGGAGGAACACCGGUGGCGAAGGCGGCACUCUGGGCCGAUACUGACACUGAGGAGCGAAAGCGUGGGGAGCGAACAGG